ncrna:unclassified sequences skipping-rope RNA
UGAAAGCAGAGGGCGGAACGGGCAGCCGUCACCCAUUGUUAGGAGAUGUGGGAAUGUCACCCCACCUAUUUCA